UGUCUUCAGAGUGCCAGUUUUCUGUGGCACCAAGAAGAUGCAGGUUAUUUUCACCAAGAGAUUGAGGCAAAAGAAACUGUUUCUGACUACCUGAGGGUUCCAGAGGGCACAUUCUGCUGGGGAGGAGUCAGGGAUGGGAGCAGAAAGGAAUGUUCAGAGCCAGAGAAGUAUUAGAGUCUGAAACAAGAGGAGACCCAGAUUUCAUCUGAUGCAUGACUUAAAUAGUAAUAAAGGAUAAAAUGGAAUUGAAGCUGAGCCACAGAGAAAUGGAGACCUCAGUAUCAUAAGGGCGGGUCUUGCCAGAAGACAGUAAAAAAAAAAAAAUGUUCUUAAAUGAGAGUGUUUUGAGGUUCCUGAGUUGAAAGGUAGAAUAUGAAUAAAAAUAGGGUCUUUAACUCUUGCUAGAGAAUUCCAUUUUGAACCACUUAAAAAUUAAUAGUCUGUGUAAAUUUAGCCUAACUUAACUCAGCUUAUGAAAGAAAAAAAAACUUGUUUAGGGAAUGGUUUUUAUGAGUUUUGUCAGAUCUAGGCUAUAGUUCCAGAUAUUCAUAAUGUUUUGUCAUCUACUUCUUGAGUAAAUCUGUAGCUUCACAUAACUUCCUAUCUCCCAUGUUCCCCUUCUGUUCCCUGGAGUCUAACCUUCACUAAAAAUAUUUUGCUUUAUCAUGGUUAUGGCAGGGCUUAGUACUCUAGUAAACCAAAUUUCUGGUCUAUGAAU
rnacentral:lncRNA from 1 species